rnacentral:tRNA from 1 species
UCCCUGGUGGUCCAGUGGCUAAGACUCCAUGAUCCUAAAGCAGGGAGCCUAGGUUUGAUUCCUAGUCAGGGAA